rnacentral:rRNA from 1 species
CCUACGGGAGGCAGCAGUAGGGAAUAUUGCUCAAUGGGGGAAACCCUGAAGCAGCAACGCCGCGUGGAGGAUGAAGGUUUUAGGAUUGUAAACUCCUUUUGUGAGAGAAGAUAAUGACGGUAUCUCACGAAUAAGCACCGGCUAAAUCCGUGCCAGCAGCCGCGGGAAGACGGAGGAUGCGAGCGUUAUCCGGAUUUAUUGGGGUAAAAGGGUGCGUAGGCGGAAUGCCAAGUCAGCGGUAAAAUCGCGGGGCGCAACCUCGCUCCGCCGUUGAAACUGGCGUUCUUGAGUGGGCGAGAAGUAUGCGGAAUGCGUGGUGUAGCGGUGAAAUGCAUAGAUAUCACGCAGAACCCCGAUUGCGAAGGCAGCAUACCGGUGCACAACUGACGCUGAGGCACGAAAGCGUGGGUAUCGAACAGGAUUAGAUACCCCUGUAGUC